CUCACUGGUCGAGUCGGCCCGCGCGGAAGAUGUAACGGGGCUAAACCAUGCACCGAAGCUGCGGCAGCAAUACUAUGUAUUGUUGGGUAGGGGAGCGUUCUGUAAGCCUGCGAAGGUGUGCUGUGAGGCAUGCUGGAGGUAUCAGAAGUGCGAAUGCUGACAUAAGUAACGAUAAUGCGGGUGAAAAACCCGCACGCCGGAAGACCAAGGGUUCCUGUCCAACGUUAAUCGGGGCAGGGUGAGUCGACCCCUAAGGCGAGGCUGAAAAGCGUAGUCGAUGGGAAACGGGUUAAUAUUCCCGUACUGGUGGUAACUGCGAUGGGGGAACGGAGAAGGCUAGGUUGUCCGGGCGACGGUCGUCCCGGUUCAAGCAUGUAGGCAGAGUGAUUAGGCAAAUCCGGUCACUUAAUGCUGAGGUGUGAUGACGAACCACUAAGGUGGUGAAGCAAUUGAUGCCCUGCUUCCAGGAAAAGCCUCUAAGCUUCAGGUUACCAACAAUCGUACCCCAAACCGACACAGGUGGUCAGGUAGAGAAUACUCAGGCGCUUGAGAGAACUCGGGUGAAGGAACUAGGCAAAAUGGUGCCGUAACUUCGGGAGAAGGCACGCUGGCGGUAAGUGAAGUCCCUUGCGGACGGAGCCGAAGCCAGUCGAAGAUACCAGCUGGCUGCAACUGUUUAUUAAAAACACAGCACUGUGCAAACACGAAAGUGGACGUAUACGGUGUGACGCCUGCCCGGUGCUGGAAGGUUAAUUGAUGGGGUUAUCCGUAAGGAGAAGCUCUUGAUCGAAGCCCCAGUAAACGGCGGCCGUAACUAUAACGGUCCUAAGGUAGCGAAAUUCCUUGUCGGGUAAGUUCCGACCUGCACGAAUGGCGUAAUGAUGGCCAGGCUGUCUCCACCCGAGACUCAGUGAAAUUGAACUCGCUGUGAAGAUGCAGUGUACCCGCGGCAAGACGGAAAGACCCCGUGAACCUUUACUAUAGCUUGACACUGAACAUUGAGCCUUGAUGUGUAGGAUAGGUGGGAGACUAUGAAAUGUGGACGCCAGUCUGCAUGGAGUCAACCUUGAAAUACCACCCUUUAACGUUUGAUGUUCUAACCUAGGUCCAUAAUCUGGAUCGGGGACCGUGUCUGGUGGGUAGUUUGACUGGGGCGGUCUCCUCCUAAAGAGUAACGGAGGAGCACGAAGGUUGGCUAAGCAUGGUCGGACAUCAUGCGGUUAGUGCAAAGGCAUAAGCCAGCUUGACUGUGAGAGUGACGGCUCGAGCAGGUACGAAAGUAGGUCUUAGUGAUCCGGUGGUUCUGAAUGGAAGGGCCAUCGCUCAACGGAUAAAAGGUACUCCGGGGAUAACAGGCUGAUACCGCCCAAGAGUUCAUAUCGACGGCGGUGUUUGGCACCUCGAUGUCGGCUCAUCACAUCCUGGGGCUGAAGUAGGUCCCAAGGGUAUGGCUGUUCGCCAUUUAAAGUGGUACGCGAGCUGGGUUUAGAACGUCGUGAGACAG
rnacentral:rRNA from 1 species